AUUGAACGCUGGCGGCAGGCCUAACACAUGCAAGUCGAACGAGUGGCGGACGGGUGAGUAAUGUCUGGGCAACUGCCUGAUGGAGGGGGAUAACUACUGGAAACGGUAGCUAAUACCGCAUACCAUCGGAUGUGCCCAGAUGGGAUUAGCUAGUAGGGGGGGUAAAGGCUCACCUAGGCGACGAUCCCUAGCUGGUCUGAGAGGAUGACCGGCCAAACGGGAACUGAGACACGGUCCAGACUCUUACGGGAGGCAGAAGUGGGAAAUAUUGCACAAUGGGCGAAGGCCUGAAGCAGCCAUGCCGGGUGUAUGAAGAGGGCCUUCGGGUUGUAAAGUACUUUAAGCGGGGAGACGUUACCCGCAGAAGAAGCACCGGCUAACUCCGUGCCAGCAGCCGGGGUAAUC
rnacentral:rRNA from 1 species